AGGGCUACAGCUCAGCGGUAGAGCGCCUCGCUUAAUAACCGAGAGUGUCUACGGUUCGAAUCCGUAUAGCCCUA
rnacentral:tRNA from 1 species